rnacentral:rRNA from 1 species
UUGGUCAUUUAGAGGAAGUAAAAGUCGUAACAGGGUUUCCGUAGGUGAACCUGCGGAAGGAUCAUUACCGAGUAUCGGGUCUCAGUGCCCGCACUCCAACCCUCUGUGUACCAACUUUGUUGCUUUGGCGGGCCCGCGGUGUAACGCCGCCACCGGCUCACGCUGGUUAGUGCCCGCCAGAGGACCGUUAAACUCCUGUUUAGACAGUGUAGUCUGAGUAAAAUUUAAUAGUUAAAACUUUCAACAACGGAUCUCUUGGUUCUGGCAUCGAUGAAGAACGCAGCGAAAUGCGAUAAGUAAUGUGAAUUGCAGAAUUCAGUGAAUCAUCGAAUCUUUGAACGCACAUUGCGCCCCCUGGUAUUCCGGGGGGCAUGCCUGUUCGAGCGUCAUUUCAACCCUCAAGCUCUGCUUGGUAUUGGGCGUCGCCGGGAAGUCUCCCCGGCGUGCCUUAAAGCUAUCGGCGGUGGUGCCUUUCUCUAAGCGUGGUAGAAUUUUUAUUCGCUUCUGAGUUGGGCUUCACCUGCCAGAUAAACCGGGCCUCGCAGCCCACUUUCUCAGGUUGACCUCGGAUCAGGUAGGGAUACCCGCUGAACUUAAGCAUAUCAAUAAG